UUAUGGGUGGUUCCCAUGGUGGCUUCAUUUCCUGCCACUUGAUUGGUCAGUACCCAGAGACCUACAGGGCCUGCGUGGCCCGGAACCCCGUGAUCAACAUCGCCUCCAUGUUGGGCUCCACUGACAUCCCUGACUGGUGCGUGGUGGAGGCUGGCUUUCCUUUCAGCAGUGACUGCCUGCCAGACCUCAGCGUGUGGGCUGAGAUGCUGGACAAAUCACCCAUCAAAUACAUCCCUCAGGUGAAGACACCACUGUUACUGAUGUUGGGCCAGGAGGACCGGCGUGUGCCCUUCAAGCAGGGCAUGGAGUAUUACCGUGCCCUCAAGACCCGGAAUGUGCCUGUUCGGUGAGUGCAGCAGGAAGGCCCUGGCAGCUGGUGGGCAGGUGAGCACAGGAGGACCCUCCAACCUUAAAUGUUGCUGACUAAUCCCUACAGGCUCCUGCUCUAUCCCAAAAGCACCCACGCAUUAUCAGAGGUGGAGGUGGAGUCAGACAGCUUCAUGAAUGCUGUGCUCUGGCUACGCACACACUUGGGCAGCUGAAGCCCUGCCAUUCUGCGUGAGCUGAUCAGCCUGUGCCACACUUCGCUCUUGGGGAGCUCAGUGGUCUAGCAGGGCAGCAGGAGGCUUUCUGGGCUCUGGACUCCACGGAUGCGUGGGCAGAGGAAUGUGGGCUAUGUAGUCAUAAUAAAUUAGGACACAGA
rnacentral:sRNA from 1 species